GACCCGCGUCUGAUUAGCUAGUUGGUAAGGUAACGGCUUACCAAGGCGACGAUCAGUAGCCGACCUGAGAGGGUGAUCGGCCACAUUGGAACUGAGACACGGUCCAAACUCCUACGGGAGGCAGCAGUGGGGAAUAUUGCACAAUGGGCGAAAGCCUGAUGCAGCAACGCCGCGUGAGUGAUGAAGGCCUUCGGGUCGUAAAACGCUGUCCUCAAGGAAGAUAAUGACGGUACUUGAGGAGGAAGCCCCGGCUAACUACGUGCCAGCAGCCGCGGUAAUACGUAGGGGGCUAGCGUUAUCCGGAUUUACUGGGCGUAAAGGGUGCGUAGGCGGUCUUUCAAGUCAGGAGUGAAAGGCUACGGCUCAACCGUAGUAAGCUCUUGAAACUGGGAGACUUGAGUGCAGGAGAGGAGAGUGGAAUUCCUAGUGUAGCGGUGAAAUGCGUAGAUAUUAGGAGGAACACCAGUUGCGAAGGCGGCUCUCUGGACUGUAACUGACGCUGAGGCACGAAAGCGUGGGGAGCAAACAGGAUUAGAUACCCUGGUAGUCCACGCUGUAAACGAUGAGUACUAGGUGUCGGGGGUUACCCCC
rnacentral:rRNA from 1 species